AAGGUUGACCUCGGAUCAGGUAGGACUACCCGCUGAACU
rnacentral:rRNA from 1 species